rnacentral:rRNA from 1 species
GACGAACGCUGGCGGCGUGCCUAAUACAUGCAAGUUGAGCGCUGAAGGUUGGUACUUGUACCAACUGGAUGAGCAGCGAACGGGUGAGUAACGCGUGGGGAAUCUGCCUUUGAGCGGGGGACAACAUUUGGAAACGAAUGCUAAUACCGCAUAAAAACUUUAAACACAAGUUUUAAGUUUGAAAGAUGCAAUUGCAUCACUCAAAGAUGAUCCCGCGUUGUAUUAGCUAGUUGGUGAGGUAAAGGCCCACCAUGGCGAUGAUACAUAGCCGACCUGAGAGGGUGAUCGGCCACAUUGGGACUGAGACACGGCCCAAACUCCUACGGGAGGCAGCAGUAGGGAAUCUUCGGCAAUGGACGAAAGUCUGACCGAGCAACGCCGCGUGAGUGAAGAAGGUUUUCGGAUCGUAAAACUCUGUUGGUAGAGAAGAACGUUGGUGAGAGUGGAAAGCUCAUCAAGUGACGGUAACUACCCAGAAAGGGACGGCUAACUACGUG